rnacentral:lncRNA from 1 species
AUGCCCAUGGGUGGCGGGGGCCGGGGGCGAGGGGGUCUUGCUUGGCAAUCGCGAGGGGGUCUUGCUUGGCAAUCGCGGACCCGGCUGCAGAGCCGCCGCCGCCGCCAGGGCAGGGUGGCGGCGAGCCCCGGAGAGACCGUCGUGGCGGCACGCGGCCAGCCGGGUCCAGCUCUGCUUGCGAGUCCCGGGCCGAGUGCCCGCCCGGAGGGCGGCACUCCGUCUGCACAUGGUCCAAGGAACUGGCCGUCCCGUCGUGGCGCAGCAGGGCCGGCGGGCCAGAGGCAGGGGAGGCUGGGCGAAGGGGAGAGAUGCCCCGUGGGUUCUCGGGGCCUGAUUUCUUUCCCCAAGGCUGCCUCGCGCAGUACCGGGGGGGGGCGGUGUUUACGAGUAAGAAAAGUUUGGGGCGCUGUUGGUCCCCGGAGGAGUCCCCGUGCCAGACCGCCGUUCCCAGCCAGGGAUCUGCAUCGCGGUAAACUCAGGCGGCGCUUUGCACAUGCUUGUGCUGACUUCUCCUUCUGGGCCUUGCCAAGCGGGGCAGGAAAGGAGCGGCUGCCGUGGGCUUCCGGCGCCCCACUGCAGAUUGCACCCGCGGGGGACGCCCGAGAGCCCCGCCAGGCAUGGAGAGAGAAAUCCAUCCUCCCCUUCGGGCCCUCCUGCCUACGGAGCUCGCAGCAGAAGGGCAGCCCCAGACUCCCAGCCCUGUGGCNCGCCGUGGCCGGGCAUUGCUUCGGCUCCGGGUGGGGCGGGCCGCGGUGGGAUAAGCUUUUGCGCGCCGGCCGGCCAACCGGCCGGCCGGCCAGCAGGCCUGCCUUCCAGGCGUGGAUUUUGGCGCCUCUCCAGAGCUCCAGGAACCAUCUGCUUCCCUGCGACUUAGUGCCGCUUGCCAGGAGGUUCCUUUGCUGCCUGCCAGAGUGCCAGGGGCUUUCCUUGACAGCAGGGUCUCCCCUUGGCUGGCGCCCCCCGCGUGGCCUUGACGCCUCCUCCUUCUGCUCGCCUGCAUUACGUAACGUUGUUUGCUGGCCGGGCCGGGCCGGGCCGUUCGCUGCCUCUGGUGUGCCAGACCAGGGCAGCUUGGAAGCACCCUUGCGCGCACGNCCCCCGCAUGUUGCUUUCUGUGUUAGAAGCAGGCUAAUGUAG